GGAGGGGCCUCCGGGAGGAGCAGUGCCUUAUAAGCACUUCGGCGCCAGAUUAGCGCGGCUAGGCAGGUUCGACUCCUGCACCCUCUACCA
rnacentral:tRNA from 1 species